UUUAACUUCUCUGCAGGGAAUUCACAGGGACUCUGACUGCUCAGAGCAUCCCAGGGCAAAGCUCAGGGGUGUUUGGGGAGUGCUGGGUUUGGAGUAUCAGGAACAAACCUUCCCUGGGGCUGAGCUUGGGGAGGAGCACUGGGGUCUGAGCAGUGUCAGGGUGUGGGUCACAGCACAACAACCAGCUGAAAGGUUGGUUUUAUUUCCCUGUUGCUGCCUGAAGAAGAAAUUGGGGGUUGGAAAGAGUCAGAACUCUUUCAUCCAAACUGGUUCUGCUGUGGUCCCUAAGCUGUGCCUGGUUAAUUCUGUCUGGGAUGUGUAAGCUUGUACACAUCAUACCUGACACUGCCAAGAGCACUAUCAGUAACCCCAAAUGACAAUGAUUUGCUUUUAUAGCUCUUUUUAAUAGUACUGUACCAUCCAUAUUGCAAGUUUUACAGUUUGUGCCACUCACUGAUAAAUACUUCAUAAGCUCCCACGGCUGCCCUGUGUGUUCCAUGGGAUGGAGUGAAAAUAGGAACCUUGUGAGACAGGGAGGCUUUAAAUGAGCUAGAAAUCAUUAUUGCUAAUGAUGAUGCAGGAGCAGACACCCAAUAACAACUUGAGGAGUUUGUUCAGCCCUGUUAAGUGGAAACUCUCGGCCUCCUGGGCUCAGCCUCUGGGAACAAAGUUUUAAAUAAGCAGCUGAUGACGCAGUGGCUCAGAAUAAAAAGUAAAUCUGUGCUUUUAGGUGCUGCUCUGGUCUGUGGAGUUGGGUUCUGUCAGAAGUGGAGCAGUGAAAUUUAGCAAAGCAUGUGACACCUGCGUAAUGAACAAUGACCUCUGAGAAAUAAGUCAGUGUUAACCUGAUUUCAGUAAGGCAGGAACAGCAGAGCCCAGGAUGGCGUGAAGAACAGGAGUAAAGGGUUUUCCCAUUCUGCAUAUAUGGGAUUGAAAACCUGGAGAGAGAGAGAGAACACACUUCUUUGGGUUUGUGUGACAGCAAUCUUGGGAACUGCUGCUUGAGUUACCUCUGGGUAGGUGAUGGAGAGCUGGUGGAGCUGGGAAUAAUGUUACUUGAAAAUGUGUGUUAUGUAAUGUUACCUUGAAACUGUAAAUUAUAUUGAAAAUUAUAUUUUUAAAAUGUGCAGAAUUGAUACGAAUUGCUGCUGGCCUGUUCUCCCCCAGCUGUGCUGGAGCUGAUCUGUGUGGUUGGCAGCAGGAGUGGAAGGGCAGCCACAGGUAUCAAUAAUCAGCCAUCUGAAGUCUCUGAUCCAUCCCAGGAGGAAAGGUGGAUUUUGCAGGGAGGUCCAAUAAUCUCAGGGAAUUUAAGAGGUGCUCUGGUCAAGGCUGGUGCCACCUGGACUAAGACUUUCCAUUUUUAUGUCCCCUCUGAAGAGUUCACAGAAGUCACCUGCUGCAGCCCCAGCUCAGAACCACAGUGUGGCCAUCCCUGCUCUGGAACCUUCCCACUUUAACCCCUCCUUGUCCCAGGGGAUGCUCCUUGGGCAGCAGCAGCUCCCAGCCAAGGGUGGAGCACUGCUCUGUCCCUGGGAGCCCGAGCCUGUCCCCUCCAGCUGCUGCUGGGCUCUGUCACAGCCCCAGGGCCUGCAGCCUGCACAGCUUCACUUGUGUCCCUGGCUGGAGGAAUCCAAGAGCUUGUCUGGGCUCUGGGUUAAGGGCUGCUGUGUGUUGAUAGGGGUUGAGUUAUUCAAGCUCACUCUGCAGUGGAACAAGCCCCAAGGGACUGUCAGCUCCAGAGCACCCGCUGCCCACAGCCUGGCGUGUUUCUGCACAGGGAGGAGGCAGCUUUUAAGUAAUUAGUGCCCAAAGCAUUCACUGCUUUGUAGGUCAAAAGCAAAACCUUAAUUCUACCAGAAAACUAUCAGAAGGCAGCUCAGAUUUGGGAGCAUGGCUGUAAUCAGCUUUCCCUGUGACACACCACUUAAUGAGCAGGCAGCAGCCUUCUCCUCCAGCUGGAACCUCCAGCUGACCCAUGGAGAGCAGGUUGUUGUUGCUUUAAUCACCUGGUGACAAAUGAGGAUACCCACGGUGGCUCCAGGAUCUGAAAUGGGUGUCUGGGCCUUUAUUGACUAUGUGGAAAUAGCCAAGUUCAUCCUGGCCUCUAAGGGGUGUGACUGGGUGGCUGCCAGUGGUCUGGGGAAUCAGAGGGAAAUAGGGAGAGCAUGUAGCAGGAAAGCUGUCUGGGUUUCUGUUCUGCCAUGGAUGUAUGCCUGGAGAGUCUCCUGGGAGAGAUCCUGGCCCACAAAACACGAGCAGGGGCUGUGCUGCCCUUGAGCUCCUUAUCCCUGAUCUUGAGUGGGGGUACGAAGAUAACAGUGGAGUUUCCUUCUUCAGGCACUUCAGGAGAUCCUCAGUAUCUCCUUUGGAAGUGCCUGCAUGCAUUUGUACAUGAGUUGGACAUUGCUGCUGCCAUCCUCUAAAGCCUGAGGAUUAAUUAAGGCGUUUUAAUCGCGAGCUCUCGUGUACGGUUAAAGCGCAAGGGGAGUAGAAGGAGGGAAGGAGUGAUGUAUUCACUUACCCUGCUCACCCUUCCAUACACUGCUGUGUGCACUGGGAAAGAUAAGGAGCAAUGUUAAACACAACAUUAAAAUAAUUAUGUUCAUUAUAAUGCAGCUUGUCAGAUGCUUGUGUCACUCUCGGUGAAAAAUAAAAUUCCGUCCUUGUGUUUUUUUCAUGAUGCGGGAGGAAACACUUGAAUUGUGUUCCUCAUGUUUCCUGGAAUCUCAAACUUCCCUUUCAUGUGUUUGAUGUGAUUUCUGAAUUUCUUGGGAGCAGUGAGAAGAUGCAGAAAAAUGAAAUGAUAUGAAGAUAUUUCUAAGGCAAUAUUUUUCAGCUGUGUCGAGGAGAGAGAAUAUUUCAGGAGAGGUGGUGACAAGACAAGUGGGUCAGACAAAAUCCUCCAAGGAAAUGUGUUUUGAGGUACUUGCUUUCCAUGGGAUCCAGAGCUGGGAGGAACUUGUACAUGUGUGUGAAUAAACCAGAUAUUUUUUCUGGCACAGCAGGGAAACAGACUUGACUGCCAAGUUAGCAAGAAUCCUUGCAGGAAUAUAAUCUGAGCUACUCUAAACCUUUACCUGAACAUCUUCAAGCAUUUUUGAGCCCCUUUCCUCUGUCAGAUCAGGCAGCCAAUUCCAGUCAUUUUGGGCAGGAGUGGCAGCUGAAAUGCCACAACCAUGGGUGGAUAAAGAUGGAACAAGGAGCUGGUGCAGCUUGUCUCAGCACUGUAGUGCUCUCUCCACAUCAAGAUGUCCUUCACUUGCUGCAGGAUGAGCUCAGGCUCGAUUCUUGGGUAAAACCCUAUCCAUUUCCUGUCUUUUUUUCUCUUCAGACCAUUUAACUUUAUUUUAGAAGCCUGGGAACAAGACUUGGAGGGUUGUCAGGUCUGUUCUUGGUCUGCUGGGGGCAGAGUCAGGUCUCUGCUCCCUCCCUCCCUCUGCCAUGGAGCAAAGACCCUGAUGGUGUUGUCCUUCCUGAAACAGCUUCAGAAAUGAUAAACAGCAGCAGAACUUCUCUGUGUGUGGAAUGACUAAUGCUGAGUGUCUGUGUUUGCAGCAUCUUCAUUUCCAACCUGCCAUUGGUGUAUAAUUAAGGUGUUUGAAGAGAAGCCUGUCAUAUACCUGCAAAUGAGAUAAAACCUGCAACUUUUAAUUGAUCUAUCCUGAUAUAAAUCAGGCAGAAACAUUGAGAGGGGACUCGUGGGUCGUGGUCUGUAGGCUGUGUUUAUAGAGGGAACCUUUUAUUUUGUGAUCAUCUGCUUUAGCAUUAGCUUGAGGGACUGAAUUUAGGCACUGCAGUGACUGGAUGAACUGCUUCAUUUGAAACAUGAAGCUGAUCUGAAUUUUGGAGCUCAGAAUGAAACCAUUUCCAUUUCCAUGCGUGUCCUCCCUGGUUUUUGGCUUAGAGGAGAAGUCCUGUGUGGAUCAACAUUCUCAAAUACCUUUCUCAAGCGAGAGCCCCGCUGGAAGCCGUGGGGUGCUGAGCGCUCACAAUCUCCGCUGUCUCCAGUGCCCUCUGAAUUUCCCUGCCUCUCUCCAGGUGCCCCUUUUGAAAAUCUCUGUACCAGGUCUUUUAUUUGACAGUUCUUUCACAGAGGGAUUUCUCUCCCAAUUUAUUUGGCCAGAAAUGUUCCCCUUUUUUCACUCUUCCACUCCUCAGCUGUGCACAGCUCAGCUUUCUCCUUCUGCGUUGGAAUUGGCUGCAUUUUACUGAGGCUUCAAAUAGAGAGGAUUUGAGCCCAUAAA